GUCCAUGUCAUCCAUGUCAUGUCUAUGUCAUCCAUGUCAUGUCCAUGUCAUCCAUGUCAUGUCCAUGUCAUCCAGGUCAUCCAUGUCCAUGUCAUCCAUGUCAUCCAUGUCAUGUCCAUGUCAUCCAUGUCAUGUCCAUGUCAUCCAUGUCAUCCAUGUCAUGUCCAUGUCAUCCAUGUCCAUGUCAUCCAUGUCAUCCUUGUCAUGACGCAUUCAGAUUUGUCCCUGAAUUACAACCAUUAAAGUUGUCAUUUUUUUGUGUUAUGUCAUCCUAAUAUACACUAUAUCACCCAUUUCUUAGGACAUGUUAUGAAUAGCCCAAAAUGCAUAUGUAUAUAGAUUUUUUUUUAAAUUAUUAUAAAUUCUAUUAUAUUCAUCUUGGUCAUGUUAUACUCAUUUUGGGUGCUUAAAAUCUCACAGAGGAUCUUUAAGUCUAAAUUCUAUUUAGUGAUGCAUUGACGUUAAUGCCAAAAGCCUACAGACUUACUGCCAUUUUCCAACUGGCUUGGAAAUCUUUCAGAUCUACAUGAACUGCCAAGUGCAGGGGUACUUAGGUAACUCUGACCUCAUUCACCAAAUUAAUGUCCAAUAGUAUUAGAAAGGUAUAGAUUUGAUAUUUUUGAUUAAAAUAGGUACAGACUGCUUUGUUGUGCUCAAGUUUGAGGUCAUAGCCUUAAAUAUAUAGUACCAACAUAAUACAUGGGGGAAAAAAACAUUCAGAACAGACAUUUUUUCCCAUCCAACAAAAGUAAAGCAGGUGAAGGUUAGAAUUACUGAAAUACUUUCUAAAUAUAGUAAGAAUCAAAUUAUAUAAUAUAAGGAACGUACAAUAAUAUUUUGUUUCAUUGGAUGGUUAUUGCAGUUUUCAUACUGGAUUUGGUCUUAUCACAUUUAAAUAGUAUAUAUCUAAGAACAUACUUGUGUAUGUGGGUGUGUGUGCCUAGAAAGAGUAUAUGCAACAGCCUGUUGACAGUGUCAGGACUAACCAAAAUAAUGAAAAGGAUAUACCUGACCUUUGACCUAGAGGAACAGGAAGAAGUCACGGACCUUGGCGGACCUUGGCUGAGACCUGUCCAUAAACAACACCUAAUCAGUUUAUAAAAAGUGUGUAGAUGUUCAGAACAAUCUGUCAAGCGAAACUCAGAGACUUGUCUGAAAUCAUAGUAACAGUCCUUAUGCUAUUUUUAUCUCACUCGAGUGGCAUUUUGAAGGGUCCCUGAUGAAUUUGGUUUCCUGGCACAAAAAAGUUGGUCCAAGACAGCAUGUCAUCACCAUCAGUAUCAGAUUAAACCAAUCCGAAUCCGCCUCUUCAUCUGUCAGUCACAAAUGCACAGCCAGCAUCCCAAUGGUAUCCUAUUCCCUCUAAUGGGCUACUUAUGACCAGGGCCAUGGCAACAUAUUUCCUUUCUAAUGCACUACUACACAACAGCUUAAGGGUACAGAGUUGUCAGGGACAGGUUGCCAGGGACAGGUUGUCAGGGACAGGAUGUCAGGGACAGGUUGCCAGGGACAGGUUGUCAGGGACAGGUUGUCAGGGACAGGUUGCCAGGGACAGGUUGUCAGGGACAGGUUGUCAGGAACAGGAUGUCAGGGACAGGUUGCCAGGGACAGGUUGCCAGUGACUUUCAAAUGUUGAACAACACACUUCACUUCAUGAUUGUUUAACAUUUCUAUGUUGUUGAGAAACAAUGUUGUGACUGGGAAUGUCCUGGAAACAGGCAAUAUUACUGUCAUACAGCAGCUAUAUUAUAUGUAGAGGUGAGACAACACGCAGAAAGACACUAAGUCAAACAUGUUAGCUUCUUAUUGGCAAUACAACAUUGACAAUGGAAUAGUCGGGACUAGGUGAAAACCAAGAAGAGAUUGAAGUGGACAAAAAGAAAUGGCCAAAUGUAAUUGCCACACAAACUCAACAACCAGAUGUCAUAGUCUUUGUCAGUGAUGUGCUCCUGGGGAAGGACUGUGAUCAGAAGUCGGCCCAGGCUUUUCUACCACACCAUCCCAUUUUAUUCCUUUACGUCUUGAUUCUCUGUUGAAUAAUGAUCAUGUUGUUAGACAGACCCACUGGUCUAAAAAUGGAACAGCACAUCUGGCAUGAACUGCCCAGUGGUCAGCCCUGACUCUAGUCAAUGUUCAUGCAACAUCAUGCUACAGCUGUGAUGUACUAACGACUAAGACCAACCUUUUUACAGUAAAGCUUUUCUGAAACUGAAUCAUAUUAUUGUGACAAUAUCCGCAACAUCAGUUUGCUCUCACACAGACUGCUGUAGUAGUUCUGACAUUUGGGUAAACACAGGUCACUAUUUGAUGCUGCAUUUCCCUGUAUAGGUCUCAGUAAGGCAUUCCAUUGCAGUAAUGUGGUUGAGAAUUCAAUAGGGUUUCAGAUUAGGAAACCUCUAUCAGUGAGUAGAUUAAUAUAAUCAAUCCACCAGUUACUUUUCAUCAAGGAAACCAUAAAAUGAUGUAUGGACAUAA
ensembl:lncRNA